GAUGAAGAACGUAGCGAAAUGCGAUAAGUAAUGUGAAUUGCAGAAUUCAGUGAAUCAUCGAAUCUUUGAACGCACAUUGCGCCCGCUAGUAUUCUGGCGGGCAUGCCUGUCCGAGCGUCAUUUCAACCCUCAAGCCCCCGGGCUUGGUGUUGGGGAUCGGCGAGCCUCCGCGCCCGCCGUCCCCUAAAUCUAGUGGCGGUCUCGCUGUAGCUUCCUCUGCGUAGUAGCACACCUCGCACUGGGAAACAGGGCGGCCACGCCGUUAAACCCCCAACUUCUGAACGUUUGACCUCGGAUCAGGUAGGAAUACCCGCUGAACUUAAGCAUAUCAAUAAGCGGAGGA
rnacentral:misc_RNA from 1 species